rnacentral:rRNA from 1 species
GCACAGAGAGCUUGCUCUCGGGUGACGAGUGGCGGACGGGUGAGUAAUGUCUGGGAAACUGCCUGAUGGAGGGGGAUAACUACUGGAAACGGUAGCUAAUACCGCAUAACGUCGCAAGACCAAAGAGGGGGACCUUCGGGCCUCUUGCCAUCAGAUGUGCCCAGAUGGGAUUAGCUAGUAGGUGGGGUAACGGCUCACCUAGGCGACGAUCCCUAGCUGGUCUGAGAGGAUGACCAGCCACACUGGAACUGAGACACGGUCCAGACUCCUACGGGAGGCAGCAGUGGGGAAUAUUGCACAAUGGGCGCAAGCCUGAUGCAGCCAUGCCGCGUGUAUGAAGAAGGCCUUCGGGUUGUAAAGUACUUUCAGCGGGGAGGAAGGUGUUGUGGUUAAUAACCGCAGCAAUU